rnacentral:sRNA from 1 species
UUUAGCCCUGAUUGCAAUGGAAAUCCUUUUUUGUUCCCUUCGAAUAGAAGGGAACAAAAAAGAUUGUAAUGGAAAGCAGG